GGAGCAAAUCCCUAAAAGCCAUCCCAGUUCGGAUUGCAGGCUGCAACCCGCCUGUAUGAAGUUGGAAUCGCUAGUAAUCGCGGAUCAGCAUGCCGCGGUGAAUACGUUCCCGGGCCUUGUACACACCGCCCGUCACACCAUGAGAGUCGGGAACACCCGAAGUCCGUAGUCUAACCGCAAGGGGACGCGGCCGAAGGUGGGUUCGAUAAUUGGGGUGAAGUCGUAACAAGGUACC
rnacentral:rRNA from 1 species